rnacentral:lncRNA from 1 species
AGGAAGUACUUAUCUAGAUCGUGGCGAUGUGCCAAAGCAGCCUUGGAAGCCGACGAGGUGCAAAAAUUGUGGUGUGGUGGGGCACCAAAGGAAUAAUUUUACGAAAGCAAUGGACCUGAGGUUAGCUGGUGGCGUGUAGUGGUGAGUGAAAAAUGCCAAACGAUUUCAGUAAGUUUGAAUGGUCAAAGUGUGACUUUGUUUUCUGCAUUCGUGAUGUGUUUGUGCAACUGAGCACCUGCCCUGCGUGCAGGCAUGCUUUAUGUCUCGAGUUGUAAUACAAAUGUAUUCAGUGAUGCAUUAGUGGGUGCUGUGAAGUAUCUAGGGUUGAAAAAAAUAUCCUUUUUUCAGUUGGGUUUAUGGAAGGUGAACUGCUUAAUUAGAUGAAACCAUGCAAGUGGACUGAAUUUCUAUAAUCAGUUGUUGUUUUGUAUGCUUGACGGAAGUCUACAGCCGGGCAGAUGGAUAUAGUCGUCAGUGCGGGCGACGACGGCUCUAUGGUGACCUUGCAUGCAGGUGUGUUGUCAAUAAUUUGUUGAUGUUUCAGUAGUAAGUGUGUUGUUCUCGCGUUGAACCCCUUGCAAAAAAAUUCGUGACACAAGGGUUGCCUGUUUGGAAAACGCUGUUAAGUAGGUAUCAGCAGAUGAUGCAGAGGGGACAUUGUCGAGCAAGCGUCAAAUGUGGCAAUGCAGGUAUGACUUUUUUUUAUCAAAGAAGGGCUUGCCCCCUCCGAUUUUCAUUACUGAAAACCACCACGAUUCACAAAAAGUUCCGAACAUCACAAACCUAAGAUGAAACUAAAGCUACCAGGUUCAAAUCGAAACAAAAGGCCAUCGCAGGCCAACACCCACACUGGAAUCCAGCAUCCAAAGCAGAAAACGAGGAGCUAAAAGAAGCCCAGCAGCAACUAGACCUAACAGCAGCGCCGGAGUCACAGCAGCAAGAGUUCCUUCAUUCCAGUCUAGCGACGUUGAUCCUCCACCCCUGCCUGGCUGUGAACACCUCACUUGCUGCCCGUUUUAGCACUCUUGCUCCCAGCUCCAAUGUUUUUUUUGACGGCUCCUUUAUCUGCAAAAUAGACCAAUCAAUCAACCAUCUGCACAUUAAUUUGAUAAUGCAGAAAGGAUCAUUUAUCCUUUUUUUCUCAAAUAUAAUCGCAUUUCUGCUUUUCCAAAUUGCCCAAAACAGGGCUGAAACCCCCACCAUAACCAUUUUCUUAUCCUCUUUUUUGAAUUUUUUUCAUCCAUUCUCCAAUGCAGGUAUGACCUGAGCUCGAGUAUAGAUUUUCUUUGUUGUUGAGUGCAGAUUGCAUAAGGAAGCAUUUCCGUUGUCGCCUGAUGUUUUGUUUUGUUGUGCGCAGAGUGAGGAUGCAAUAAAGUAUUGGACUGACGCUUCAGAAGGCGUGACACGUUCCACUGGACUAGGUGCCGGAAUAUGAUCCAGUCAACCUGGCGGCUGUUGAUGUUGUUAGGGAGGGCUAAGGUGAUUAUGAUCCAGUAAUGAAUCAUGGAGAUGAGUCGAACAAAUUGUUCGGUGUCGACAAUGGAUCCGUCAUCCGUUGCUGGAAAUGGGUGUGUUAUUCCGACGAGGAGUAUGCAGAAGUGAGAAAUUCUGAACCAAAACGACAGCGGCUCGUUUUGGGAAGAACCAGGAUCAGUUUGCUGGCGUUGCGUCGGGUAAUGAUGUCAUUACCCGCCUAGUGCUAGUGUUGUGAUGCAAUCCAUGUACAAGUUUGUUGUGUUGUCAUGGUUAAUUAAGAUUCAUAAUCAUCAUAUCACAUUUGUCUUGUGACCGUGUUCGUUGGCGAUCAUGCAAAGUAAUGUGACGGCUUGAACGGCCUUCUAUGGAACAGAAUCGACAAG